CCCAACUAUCCCUAUUAAUCAUUACGUCAAUCCUAGAAACCAACAAAAUAGAAUCAAACGUCCUAUUCCGUUAUUCCAUGCUAAUGUAUUCAAGCGUGAGCCUGCUUUAAACACUCUAAUUUUUUCAAAGUAACAGUCCUGAUUUCCCAUAACACCAAAUUAAUGGCAUUAUAGUUCGUCAGAAGAGAGAAACCGAUUAUACCAGUACGUACAAAAGCACGACCAAUAAACCGGUCUCGAAAUUCAACUACGAGCUUUUUAACUGCAACAACUUUAAUAUACGCUAUUGGAGCUGGAAUUACCGCGGCUGCUGGCACCAGACUUGCCCUCCAA
rnacentral:misc_RNA from 2 species